UUCUCCCUCCCCCCUAUCUCAGACUCUCUCAUUCUCCUUCUUCCUCACCUUCGCUGGUCUCUUUCUGCGUCUCCUUCUCCCUAACAUUUAUCUCAUCACCAAGACAUCACUACCACCACCAAAACCAGUACCUUAUUCUUCUUCUCAUUCUUAUUUCUUUCUCAUCAACAGGUGAAGAAUCACUAUGGGAAAGAAAACCUAACCGUCUCUGAAAAUCUAAACAGCAAAUCACAUCAACAAAAAACCCUAAUUUGUAACCAACUUCUUCGAUCUACAAACCCUAAUUUGAUAUUUCUUGUCUAAGAUUUGGGUCAGAAUUAGGUUAUCAUAGUUCACUGUUAGAAUUUUCCAAAUCGGAUACGGAGAAGACAAACAGGAAGAAGAAGAGGCGGGUUUUGGUGGUGGUGUAAUGAAUACUCAUCCAUGGUCGAAUAGAGAUGGCUUAUUUCAUUGGCUUAUUGAUUUUAUUUGAAGUUUCCCUAUGCUCUAAAGUAUCUGGUGAAGGAGAAAACAAGUACUACAAGAAUGAUGGUUUGGCAUACGUCUCUCUAUCUUUCUAUGGGAUUGUGCAGAAGUUCAAGAUAUUACUCCUCGCAAGGGUUUGGUUGAGACACAAUUUUAAAGAAAGCUGCAGCUUAUGAAGAUACAUACAUUUGCAAGAUUUUCACAGAUGUAGUUGUGCAGCACCAAGUGCCGAUAAUGGGGGUAGCUCCCUUGCGAAUAGCGGUUCAGAAGCUCCAGCCAUCUGUUGACCACUUCACAGCUUUACAUGUAGAGUUUCUCCAUGAUUGCUUUCUUGCGAAGUGUUACAAAACUGGUUGUAGCGGAUUGUUUGGUACGAUCUGUGUACUGUCCUGGUCAUUGGCAUGGUAUUGUAAAGGAUGAGUUUCUCAUUAUUCAAAUUCAUCUUUGUCCUAGUCUAGUUGCAGAGGUCUGUUGAUCACUUAACUCUUCUUCUUAUGCUACACUAUAUGACGUUGUGUUUCAUUUACUAAAUUUGGGCCUCUGGCAUUUACUAAAUUUGGGUAGUUAUAACAAAGUUUUGGGAUUUUGCUCAAUGGGUUUUCAAGAUAGUCUUUUUUAACUUUUUUUUUUUUUUUGGAUUUUGUAAGUGACAAGAAUUUGAGAAGACGAGAUUUGGAUUUUGCAAACUUGAUCUUUUGGAUCUAAGUUAGGGUUUUGUGAUAAAUGAAAAGAAAACCAAGAAGAAAUGUGUUUGCAAAGAGCUGUGUAGCUUGUGAAAACAACUGUUGUGAUUCAACCAAGCGGAAAUGAGGAAGAUCCAAGGAACUGUCUGUAACUCGGACUCCUCAGGGCACAUCAAGCUUUCCACUGAAAUUGGAUACUAUAUGGAGGUUGGUGAAACGUAAGCCAGGAAAGCCUCCUAAGGAUGAAAUGGAUGCCAAUACACAUGCUUCUCCAAGUAACGUACUCUACUCUCUUUGUAAAAUGGUCCAUGAAUCCUUCAAAUUAAGUUGAAUACUUCUUGGAGUUAGGCGAAGCUAAAUCCGGGAAGGCCUUUUAAGAAUGGAAUGGAUGCCCACACACAUGUUUCUCCAAGUACCUUACUAUACUCUCUUUGUAAAUGACAUUUAUUAAUUUAUGUUUGUACGGGAUGACUUUGCUGCUUUCAACUGAUGUUCCAUGUUCAUUAUUUUGUAUCUUCUAUGGUUAUCCCAUAUUGCAAAGGCUAUUCCUGGUCAUUGGGUUUGUGUCUUUGUAGGAGCUUCCAAACCUACCAAGACCUGUAACAACAAUGAUGGCAGUGUGAAGAAAUUUUGUGUGCUCAUCCAAGUUACCUUGACACUUUUGGACAUGCUCAUUCCGCGUGGUGUUUUGGUGCAAUAGCUUACCUUGUAGACAAUUACAGGGACCUAAUGUUUUAUAGCCUUUAAUCUGAUGCUUGUGAAUUAUUACUUAUGGUUGCUGCUGGUGUUACUGUGUACCAGACGGUUGGAAGUUGCUUCCUUUAGACAAGUACCAUGGCUACUGCCUGUACAUGCAAUAUCAAUUACUGGUAGAGUAGGAGAAGACACUUGGACUUAGUGGAGCGACAAGUGACAACAGUCUACAGAAGUAGAAGAAAGCUCAAUGAUAAACGGUACUUGCAAGUUCUGAAUUGGGCAGGUCAGUUCAUCUUUUUGCUGGAUUUUGCUGCAGUUUGUGUUUAUUAGGUUGCCGUUGCUCUGCACUGAUUGUAAGAAAGCAUUAUCCUUUUAGAACUUGCGGUAUGAAUUCAGUAUUUUCCUAGAUUUGUUUUUUUUUGGUAUUUUUGAGCAUUUUGUAAACUGAAUUCAAAUGUGUAUUGAACUUGUACAUAAUUUGAAAGUUCGGUUGAAUGGUGAGAUAUGUCGUCAAAGUAUAUGAAAUUGUAAAUUGAUUCCAGCA